rnacentral:rRNA from 1 species
AUUGAACGCUGGCGGCAUGCCUUACACGUGCAAGUCGAACGGUAACAGGUCUUCGGAUGCUGACGAGUGGCGAACGGGUGAGUAAUACAUCGGAACGUGCCCGAUCGUGGGGGAUAACGGAGCGAAAGCUUUGCUAAUACCGCAUACGAUCUACGGAUGAAAGCAGGGGACCGCAAGGCCUUGCGCGGACGGAGCGGCCGAUGGCAGAUUAGGUAGUUGGUGGGAUAAAAGCUUACCAAGCCGACGAUCUGUAGCUGGUCUGAGAGGACGACCAGCCACACUGGGACUGAGACACGGCCCAGACUCCUACGGGAGGCAGCAGCGGGGAAUUUUGGACAAUGGGCGAAAGCCUGAUCCAGCCAUGCCGCGUGCAGGAUGAAGGCCUUCGGGUUGUAAACUGCUUUUGUACGGAACGAAAAGACUCUUUCUAAUAAAGAGGGUCCAUGACGGUACCGUAAGAAUAAGCACCGGCUAACUACGUG